rnacentral:tRNA from 1 species
GCUCGGGAUAGUGGCGGUUUACGCCACCCUGCUGGUGCCGGGGAUGAUCAUGUUCGAAUCCUUCCUGAGCU